AUUACAAUAAAGUUUACUAAUCUCAUUCAAGCUUGCUAAUUAGGGUUAAGGCUUCCUAAUUAACAUUAUACUCUAUAAGCUAAUAAUUAGGUUUUCUCUAAUUGUAUGUUAGGGUUUCCUAAAUUAGAAAUUAGGGCUUUUCAAAUAAAUCAAUUAGGGUUAUCCCUAAUUAUACUUACAAUUAAUAACAUAGAAACUCUUUAUUUAUCUUCAAG
rnacentral:lncRNA from 1 species